rnacentral:lncRNA from 1 species
GUCAAGUCCAAAAUACCUCAAGGGGCUAUAUACUGUGAUGCCAGCACACAAGAGAGGAGCACCAGCUUCAAGAGAUAGGUUCUCUGGAAUACGAACAAUGAAGUGCUCUUCGGCAACCAUAAGGUCUGAGUAGCCUCCGUAUGUGGUGGUGCCAUCAUAAUUCUUGGCACCAUAGGUAAGUAUCAUUUUUGGACAGUAAUUCUCAAGAUUGCCGUGACAGCUAUCGCAAGAGCGGCAUGAUCCAACCAUGCACCCUACACCCACUUUGUCUCCAACCUUGAAUUUUUCUACUUUGCUCCCCACCUCUGUCACUAUUCCCACAAU